AUUGAACGCUGGCGGCAGGCCUAACACAUGCAAGUCGAGCGGAUGAGGGUAGCUUGCUAUCUGAUUCAGCGGCGGACGGGUGAGUAAUGCCUAGGAGUCUGCCUGGUAGUGGGGGGCAACGAUUCGAGAGGAACGCUAAUACCGCCUACGUAUUACGGAAGAAAGUGGGGGAUCUUCGGACAUCACGCUUUCAGAUGAGCCUAGGUACGAUUAGCGAGUUGGUGAGGUAAAGGCGAACAAAGGCAACGAUCGUUAACUGGCCUGAGAGGAUGACCAGUCACACUGGAACUGGGACACGGCCCAGACUCCUACGGGGGGCAGCAGUGGGGAAUAUUGGACAAUGGGCGAAAGGCUGAUCCAGCCAUGCCGCGUGUGUGAAGAAGGUCUUCGGAUUGUAAAGCACUUUAAGUUGGGAGGAAGGGCAGUAAGUUAAUACCUUGCUGUUUUGACGUUACCGACAGAAUAAGCACCGGCUAACUUCGUGCCAGCCGCCGCCGUAAAAC
rnacentral:rRNA from 1 species